AUUUAACGCUGGCGGCAGGCCUAACACAUGCAAGUCGAACGAGUGGCGGACGGGUGAGUAAUGUCUGGGAAACUGCCCGAUGGAGGGGGAUAACUACUGGAAACGGUAGCUAAUACCGCAUACCAUCGGAUGUGCCCAGAUGGGAUUAGCUAGUAGGUGGGGUAACGGCUCACCUAGGCGACGAUCCCUAGCUGGUCUGAGAGGAUGACGACCCACACUGGAACGUAGACACGGUCCAGACUCCUACCUUGCCCAUCAGUUUAUAAUAUUGCACAAUGGGCGCAAGCCUGAGCCAGCCAUGCCGCGUGUAUGAAGAAGGCCUUCGGGUUGUAAAGUACUUUCAGCGAGGAGGCGUUACUCGCAGAAGAAGCACCGGCUAACUCCGUGCCAGCAGCCGCGGUAAUAC
rnacentral:rRNA from 1 species